GUGCUUGCUUUGGCAGCACAUACAGUAAAAUUGGAAUGAUACAGAGAAGAUUAGCAUGGCCCCUGUGCAAGGAUGACAUGAAAAUUCCUGAAGCAUUCCAUAUUUUU
ensembl:snRNA U6 U6 spliceosomal RNA